CUCCAGUUAGCCUAGUGGUUAAGGGCUAAGGAUCGCCAAUCCGGAAAUGGCGGGUUCGAUUCCCGUAUAGUGGG
rnacentral:tRNA from 1 species